UACGUAGGGUGCAAGCGUUUGUCCGGAAUUAUUGGGCGUAAAGAGCUCGUAGGCGGUCUGUCGCGUCGGAUGUGAAAACCCAGGGCUCAACCCUGGGCCUGCAUUCGAUACGGGCAGACUAGAGUUCGGUAGGGGAGACUGGAAUUCCCGGUGUAGUGGUGGAAUGCGUAGAUAUCGGGAGGAACACCAGUGGCGAAGGCGGUUACCUGGAGCUUUGCUGACGCUGAUGCGCGAAAGCGUGGGGAGCGAUCCGG
rnacentral:rRNA from 1 species